rnacentral:rRNA from 1 species
UACGUAGGGUGCGAGCGUUAAUCGGAAUUACUGGGCGUAAAGUGUGCGCAGGCGGCCGCGCAAGUCGAGUGUGAAAGCCCCGGGCUUAACUUGGGAAUUGCGCUCGAAACUACGUGGCUAGAGUGUGGCAGAGGGAGGUGGAAUUCCACGUGUAGCGGUGAAAUGCGUAGAGAUGUGGAGGAACACCGAUGGCAAAGGCAGCCUCCUGGGCCAACACUGACGCUCAUGCACGAAAGCGUGGGGAGCAAACAGG